GCUGAGAUAGCCAAGGUGGUCACGGCGGAGGUCUGAAAAACCCCAGAUGCGUGUUCGACUCACGCUCUCAGCACCC
rnacentral:tRNA from 1 species